rnacentral:rRNA from 1 species
UACGGGGGGGGCAAGCGUUGUUCGGAAUUACUGGGCGUAAAGGGCCAGUAGGCGGCCAACUAAGUCCGACGUGAAAUCCCAAGGCUUAACCUUGGAACUGCGUCGGAUACUGGAUGGCUUGAAUUCGGGAGAGGGAUGCAGAAUUCCAGGUGUAGCGGUGAAAUGCGUAGAUAUCUGGAGGAACACCGGUGGCGAAGGCGGCGUUCUGGACUGCAACUGACACUGAGGAACGAAAGCCAGGGGAGCAAACGGG